GGAUCAAAUCUAGUAAUCAACAAACCGUUGGCGUUGUAAACUAUGGGUAAUAAAUGAUGUACCCCAAAGUUUGCCAACAACAAGUAUCCUUGCAGACCCAACAGGCAACGGGCACCAUUCAGGUUUCGAUGGACUGCAUUCUGCCAGGUUGUGUUUGUUGAUUGUUGUGAAAGCUUUGUGUCGUAUACGAUGCAUUAUGUGGAAUUGAGGGUGCCUGUCAGUUUCCAUAUAUCUUAGAGAUAGAAUAACAAUAUUGUAGACCAUGCUAGCUUCAUACUUUCAGGGAAAUUCUUUUCUUGUUUUCUCUGGAUGAUGUUUUAGACACUUGGCGUAAGGGUGUUGCAUGGGCUAACACCCCGUACUGCUUCAUCAAGGAGGACAGUCGGGAGUUGGACGAGCUGUGUUUAUCUUCCAUCUUCAGAAUGAUGCCAUGAUGGUGAUGAUCUUGCAAGGAAAUGCACAGCAGACUUGAUGACCGAUAUACACUAAUAGAGCAGUUUCAACGUGAGAUAGCCUUAGCAGAAUAAGAUACUAUAUAAGAUGUCAGAAUGUCCAUGCCUAAAUUGUCCGAUGACUCUUCAAUCACAGUUCAAUAAAACUUGUGCUGAAACUACCGAUACAAAGGACGUUCAACAUGUGUGCUGCAGAAAACCGUUCAAACUGACCAAAAUAGACCCAAGAUAAAUCCGUUCGUCUGUGAAAGCGUUUGCAGUCAACUGAGAAAAUAAUGAUUCAUUCAUUACUGGACGGUCUUAUUCUUCGACUAAAGAUGUUUGUGAAAUCACGGAAGAUAGAUGUCGUUCUCACAAGAAGCUACAUUUGCGGAGUAUUGACACACACACACACAGGUUGUCCAUCAUGCAACUAUCAGUUUGUCCAUCAUGCACACAGAACAGCCUCUAGGCCUAAAUUAUUGUCAUAUAUCCUAUGGCUUCAUGGCCAUUUCGAAUCUUUGUCAUUAUUUUUAAGCUUGGUGAAUUAGAAUUUGAACUGGUGUGGUCCAAACAUCUGGUGCUGGUGCCUUUCAGAAGGCCAUUCUGACUAAAGAUGGAUUGUUAUCUUGGAUGCCAGGCAUCUGCAAGCUAAAUUGAAGU